rnacentral:rRNA from 1 species
UACGUAGGUGGCGAGCGUUGUCCGGAUUUACUGGGCGUAAAGGGAGCGUAGGCGGACUUUUAAGUGAGAUGUGAAAUACCCGGGCUUAACUUGGUGCUGCAUUUCAAACUGGAAGUCUAGAGUGCAGGAGAGGAGAAUGGAAUUCCUAGUGUAGCGGUGAAAUGCGUAGAGAUUAGGAAGAACACCAGUGGCGAAGGCGAUUCUCUGGACUGUAACUGACGCUGAGGCUCGAAAGCGUGGGGAGCAAACAGGAUUAGAUACCCUGGUA